rnacentral:rRNA from 1 species
GACGAACGCUGGCGGCGUGCUUAACACAUGCGAGUCGAACGCUGAAGCUCAGCUUUUGUUGGGUGGAUGAGUGGCGAACGGGUGAGUAACACGUGAGUAACCUGCCCCCUUCUUUGGGAUAACGCCCGGAAACGGGUGCUAAUACUGGAUAUUCACUGGUCUUCGCAUGGGGGUUGGUGGAAAGGGUUUUUCUGGUGGGGGAUGGGCUCGCGGCCUAUCAGCUUGUUGGUGGGGUGAUGGCCUACCAAGGCUUUGACGGGUAGCCGGCCUGAGAGGGUGACCGGUCACAUUGGGACUGAGAUACGGCCCAGACUCCUACGGGAGGCAGCAGUGGGGAAUAUUGCACAAUGGGCGCAAGCCUGAUGCAGCGACGCCGCGUGAGGGAUGGAGGCCUUCGGGUUGUGAACCUCUUUCGCUCAUGGUCAAGCCGCAACAAUGGUUGUGGUGAGGGUAGUGGGUAAAGAAGCGCCGGCUAACUACGUG